ensembl:lncRNA
CUUACUUGUAGUGAAAUCACAGUAACAAAUAGCCAUCUGUAGAAUUUAUUGUCAUUUUUAUAAGCAUUAUACAAUUUUGUAACUGCUUGGUUGCUUUUUUCUAGUGUCAAAGCCAAUGGUGAAACCAGCUCUUCAGAUGAUGAGCUCUUCAGAGAGAAAGAAGGAGAUUGAGCUUAGAGAACUCAUGAUGCCCAAAACAUCUUCCAAGGUGUCUUCUCUUAGUUUUCAGUGUGAGAAUAACCAAAAGAAGCCCCAUACAAUUCAAGCACAGUCGACCCCUGCUGCUCAUAAUGAGGACCGACAGAAAAUCCAGAGCUUAAAGGCUAAAGAAAAGAAGUACCACAAGGUUCUCUGAUUUAUUUAAACACACACACACACACACACACACACACACAUAUGUAUAUAUAUAGAGAGAGAGAGAGAGAGAGAAGAAGAGAGAGCAAGAGAAUAUAUAUAAUGUACUUUUACAUUUCAUUACAUUGGUCGUCUCAUGUUUUCUGUUUUUGGUACCUGCUAUUUCUCUCUUUUUUUUCUUUUUUUGGCAUCUAACCCUAUAAAAACUUUUUUUUCCUGAAGCAUAUUCCUGCAGACAAAGUAGUACAGAUGGUGCAAGCUGACAAAGAACAUGAAGAGGAAACUUUAGGUAUGAUAUGAAGCAUACUAAGGAAAUGCCACUGCUGAUGUGAACAUAUUUGAAUGUUUUUAACUUUAUUUCUUUGUGUAAAAGAUAACAGCAUCGUCCCAGACUCCCAACCUGUGAGAAAGGGAAGCUCGUAGUGAGUGUAUUUCUACUGACAUUUCGGUUACAGUUUCUCAACUGUUUAACAUUACAUCCACUGUAGAGAGGAUUCUGUCUGCUCAGUGCUCACUACAUAAUGUAUGCUUGUUUGUCUUUGUUUUACAUGUAACUGAUCAGUUCACCAGCUCCCUGGAGCUUGAACUCUAGUAAAAGGAGAAUCUCGGUAUCUGGAUCACUGCUGACUUGGCAAAAAGACUGCUAUAAAAAUGGCACUAUAUCAGGUGAGUUAUCGGCAGAGAUAUUCAACUACAAUACAUGACUCUUGAAUACUUAAUUGUGAUUGGUCAAUCACUGCAUUCUGUAGUUUUUUGUAUUAUUAUGACCUCUAUACUAUAAUUGACAGUUUGAACCAAUUUCCUACAUAUCUGUGCUAGUUUCAUGUCUCUUAUGACUGUGCAGUCUCAUUCUCACAUAAUAAAAUAUAAUAAUUUAGCCUCA